rnacentral:rRNA from 1 species
UGGUGGCGAGUGGCGGACGGGUGAGUAAUGCAUCGGAACGUGUCCUAAAGUGGGGGAUAACGCAUCGAAAGAUGUGCUAAUACCGCAUAUUCUCUGAGGAGGAAAGUAGGGGAUCGAAAGACCUUAUGCUUUUGGAGCGGCCGAUGUCUGAUUAGCUAGUUGGUAGGGUAAUGGCUUACCAAGGCGACGAUCAGUAGUUGGUCUGAGAGGACGACCAGCCACACUGGGACUGAGACACGGCCCAGACUCCUACGGGAGGCAGCAGUGGGGAAUUUUGGACAAUGGGCGCAAGCCUGAUCCAGCAAUGCCGCGUGAGUGAAGAAGGCCUUCGGGUUGUAAAGCUCUUUCAGUUGAGAAGAAAAAGUCGUGACUAAUAAUCAUGAUUCAUGACGGUAUCAACAGAAGAAGCACCGGCUAACUACGUGCCAGCAGCCGCGGUAAUACGUAGGGUGCAAGCGUUAAUCGGAAUUACUGGGCC